rnacentral:rRNA from 1 species
UACGUAGGGUGCAAGCGUUGUCCGGAAUUAUUGGGCGUAAAGAGCUCGUAGGCGGUCUGUCGCGUCUGCUGUGAAAACUCAGGGCUUAACCCUGAGCUUGCAGUGGGUACGGGCAGACUAGAGUGCGGUAGGGGAGACUGGAAUUCCUGGUGUAGCGGUGAAAUGCGCAGAUAUCAGGAGGAACACCGGUGGCGAAGGCGGCUCUCUGGUCCACAACUGACGCUGAGGUGCGAAAGCUAGGGGAGCAAACGGG